UGGGUGCGAUUCCGGCAGCGAGGGUGCGGGCCGCGAGGAGUCCUUGAUGAUGAGCGAGUCCACAUAGAAGGAGCGCGACAUGUCUACGGGGGAUGGAUGGCUUGUCCUGCGGGGCCGCGGCUUCUCCUUGCCUUUCGAGAUAAAAUCUUAGCCGUACACACUCUGUCCUACACUCUCCCUUGUUUGAUCCUCUGUCCAACUCUUCAUGGCGAUGCGAUGCGGAGCGCACCAGGUGGGGACUUCCAGGCCAUUUAAACUGAGGUACUCAAAUGCUUCCAAACUCCUCGGUGUCAACCUUGGCUGCACAGUAGAGCCUGAAACUUCUUCUGCCUUGGAGCAGGCUUUUGGACUUGGCCAAGGUCAUUCGCACGGACAAAUCCAGUAACUGGACGAAUGGGUAACUGCCCGGCUAAGAAACCAAGCGCUCCAGGCCGGUGCUACAUCAGUUCCCAAAUGCCUUUGUGUUUGGGCUUCUCUUGAGGCCACUCAGACCAACGACCCUUCUUGAGCAUCUUUCUAGUCAGCAGUUCAGCCUUCCGCGGAGGGGCGGGGGGGGUGGGUGAGGAGUCGCCCUUUUCUUAUUCCAAGCUGUUACAUAGUUUUACAAGCUCAACCUUACAAACGCCACUGCGAAAUAUUUGGAGAUGACCAAAAACAGCCUUCCUAUACACUGGCGUAGGAGCUGAGGAGGCCUCUGGUGUAAGUCGAGUGAUCUCUUGCUAAUACCCCCAACCCCGCACCCUCAAUACCGAUGCUCUUUACAUCCUCAAAUCCUAAAGCUCAAGAAGGGCGUAGAGCUAAUGGAGGAAUCCUGCCUGUACCUGUGAGGAGUGGCCUGGUACCAGAACUCCCUUCCGGGGCUCAGGAAGACUUGUGAGCCUUGUGAGAGAGGGUGGCCGCCACCACUGGGGCUCUUGGUUUGGGGGGAAGUCAAGGCAGCAAAGAUGACAGCGGGUUUCUUUCAGGUCCUUUUGCUAAAAUGGCUAACUUCAAGUGUAAGUUCACAACAGCGACAAGGAACUUGAAGACUGGAUUCCCUCAACCUGAGAAGUGCCCAAGGACAGGAGACCCCAGCUGGAGGCAUGGUUCUCUCUGUGCCCUCUGGCUUUCUCUUUCUCUUUCUCUCCCCCUACCCAUCUCUGUGACCACCUCUCUCUUGUCUGAUGGAGGAGUAUAAUUGGGUUGUAGGGAUGCCCCGCUCUAGGGAGCCCAGGAUUUAUGGAUGGCAAUUAAAGUUUUAUGAAUUG